rnacentral:lncRNA from 1 species
AGUUAGUCUGGUCGAAUAAGAGGAUAAAUGCUACAUGGAAGUGCUUGUCACUUAUGAACCCCAACGCAAGUCUCAUUUCAUUGUUCCGCAAGCCAUUUAUGAACGUGCCUGUGGGCAGCAGGAAGAAAAGAAAAAUUGAAGCAUGAGAGAUGAGCAUUGCUGUCAAGUCCCCACAGCUGCCACAGAAACGCAUGUGCUGCUUUCCAUCAUCCCUUGCAUUCAAAAUGCUACUGAUGCAUAGCACCUAAUCAAGUCCCCAGGCUGCAGUUCCACUCGGAGGAAGCUACGUCACCUCCAUCGCUACUGUGUUGUCUGCUAUGUUGUUCAGUGCUG